rnacentral:rRNA from 1 species
AUUGAACGCUGGCGGCAGGCCUAACACAUGCAAGUCGAGCGGGGUUUUCGGACCUAGCGGCGAACGGGUGAGUAAUGCGUAGGAAGCUACCCGAUAGAGGGGGAUACCAGUUGGAAACGACUGUUAAUACCGCAUAAUGUCUACGGACCAAAGUGUGGGACCUUCGGGCCACAUGCUAUCGGAUGCGCCUACGUGGGCUUAGCUAGUUGGUGAGGUAAUGGCUCACCAAGGCGACGAUCUUUAGCUGGUUUGAGAGGAUGAUCAGCCACACUGGAACUGAGACACGGUCCAGACUCCUACGGGAGGCAGCAGUGGGGAAUAUUGGACAAUGGGCGCAAGCCUGAUCCAGCCAUGCCGCGUGUGUGAAGAAGGCCUUCGGGUUGUAAAGCACUUUCAGCGAGGAGGAAGGGGUGUGUGUUAAUAGUACACACCUUUGACGUUACUCGCAGAAGAAGCACCGGCUAACUCUGUGCCAGCAGCAGCCGCAGUAA